rnacentral:rRNA from 1 species
UACGGGGGGGGCAAGCGUUGUUCGGAAUUACUGGGCGUAAAGGGCUCGUAGGCGGCCAACUAAGUCAGACGUGAAAUCCCUCGGCUUGACCGGGGAACUGCGUCUGAUACUGGAUGGCUUGAGUUUGGGAGAGGGAUGCGGAAUUCCAGGUGUAGCGGUGAAAUGCGUAGAUAUCUGGAGGAACACCGGUGGCGAAGGCGGCAUCCUGGACCAACACUGACGCUGAGUGAGCGAAAGCCAGGGGAGCAAACGGA